GAUCCUGGCUCAGAAUCAACGCUGGCGGCGUGCCUCAGACAUGCAAGUCGAACGCGAAAGUUCCCUUCGGGGAGCGAGUAGAGUGGCGCACGGGUGAGUAACACGUAGGUAAUCUACCUUCGGAUGGGGAAUAACAACCGGAAACGGUUGCUAAUACCGCAUAAUGCAGCGGCACCUAAUGGUGACAGUUGUUAAAGCGGGGGAUCGAAAGACCCCGCGUCUGAAGAGGAGCCUGCGGCAGAUUAGCUAGUUGGUAAGGUAACGGCUUACCAAGGCGAUGAUCUGUAGCCGGCCUGAGAGGGCGGUCGGCCACACUGACACUGACAUACGGGUCAGACUCCUACGGGAGGCAGCAGUCGGGAAUUUUGGGCAAUGGGCGAAAGCCUGACCCAGCAACGCCGCGUGAAGGAUGAAAUCCUUCGGGAUGUAAACUUCGCAAGAACGGGAAGAAUAAGUAGGGGGUAAUAUCCCCUACGAUGACGGUACUGUUUGUAAGCUCCGGCUAACUCCGUGCCAGCAGCCGCGGUAAUACGGGGGGAGCAAGCGUUGUUCGGAUUUACUGGGCGUAAAGGGCGCGUAGGCGGCCACCGCAAGUCGACUGUGAAAUCUCCGGGCUUAACCCGGAAAGGUCAGCCGAUACUGCGGGGCUAGAGUGCAGAAGGGGCAACUGGAAUUCUCGGUGUAGCGGUG
rnacentral:rRNA from 1 species